rnacentral:rRNA from 1 species
GGUUAAGCGACUAAGCGUACACGGUGGAUGCCCUGGCAGUCAGAGGCGAUGAAGGGCGUGCUAAUCUGCGAUAAGCGCCGGUAAGGUGAUAUGAACCGUUAUAACCGGCGAUACCCGAAUGGGGAAACCCAGUGUGAUUCGUCACACUAUCAUUAACUGAAUCCAUAGGUUAAUGAGGCGAACCGGGGGAACUGAAACAUCUAAGUACCCCGAGGAAAAGAAAUCAACCGAGAUUCCCCCAGUAGCGGCGAGCGAACGGGGAGGAGCCCAGAGCCUGAAUCAGCAUGUGUGUUAGUGGAAGCGUCUGGAAAGGCGCGCGAUACAGGGUGACAGCCCCGUACACAAAAGCGCAUAUGCUGUGAGCUCGAUGAGUAGGGCGGGACACGUGGUAUCCUGUCUGAAUAUGGGGGGACCAUCCUCCAAGGCUAAAUACUCCUGACUGACCGAUAGUGAACCAGUACCGUGAGGGAAAGGCGAAAAGAACCCCGGCGAGGGGAGUGAAAAAGAACCUGAAACCGUGUACGUACAAGCAGUGGGAGCCCCACCACUAAGCCAGUGGUGAACUCCACAUACGCAUCCUUUGCUGAGGAUACGGUUAACGGAGCGAAAGCGACGUUCAACCUCAAAAGAAGCAGAGGGGGCUUAGUGGUGGGGUGACUGCGUACCUUUUGUAUAAUGGGUCAGCGACUUAUAUUCUGUAGCAAGGUUAACCGAAUAGGGGAGCCGGAGGGAAACCGAGUCUUAAU